rnacentral:rRNA from 1 species
UCAGGAUGAACGCUGGCGGCGUGCCUAACACAUGCAAGUCGAACGAAGCAUGCGGAUGGAAUUUCUUCGGAGAGGAAGCCUGCAUGACUGAGUGGCGGACGGGUGAGUAACGCGUGGGUAACCUGCCCUGCACAGGGGGACAACAGCCGGAAACGGCUGCUAAUACCGCAUAAGCGCACAGCUUCGCAUGGUACAGAGGUAAAAACUGAGGUGGUGUAAGAUGGGCCCGCGUCUGACUAGGUAGUUGGUGGGGUAGAAGCCUACCAAGCCGACGAUCAGUAGCCGACCUGAGAGGGCGACCGGCCACAUUGGGACUGAGACACGGCCCAAACUCCUACGGGAGGCAGCAGUGGGGAAUAUUGCACAAUGGGGGGAACCCUGAUGCAGCGACGCCGCGUGAGUGAAGAAGUAUUUCGGUAUGUAAAGCUCUAUCAGCAGGGAAGAAGAUGACGGUACCUGACUAAGAAGCCCCGGCUAACUACGUGCCAGCAGCCGCGGUAAUACGUAGGGGGCAAGCGUUAUCCGGAUUCACUGGGUGUAAAGGGAGCGUAGACGGCAGGGCAAGUCUGGAGUGAAAGCCCGGGGCCCAACCCCGGGACUGCUUUGGAAACUGCCAUGCUAGAGUGC